rnacentral:misc_RNA from 1 species
AAGGAGCACCACGAAAAACACUCCCAAUUGGUGGGGGUGUAGCCGUGAGGAGUCUGUGCGCUGUAGUGGCGCCGGCUUGGUGCACAACAAACUUGUAGAACUGCCAGACACACUAUUGGGCUUUGAGGCAACAGGCCCGCAGUCCUGUCCCGUUGGGGGCAGGGGGUGUGUUGUUGCUCCGCUUUGGUGGUGGGGUGUGGUGUUGAUUGUGGAUAGUGGUUGCGACCAU